AGUAAAAUAAGCUAAACUAAGCUUUUGGGCCCAUACCCCAAACAUGUUGGCGAAAACCCUUCUUUUACUA
rnacentral:tRNA from 2 species